GUUACGAUGUAUUACAGUGAAGAAGAAGAAGAAGAAGAAGGAGGGGGGUCCACGACGUUGUUGCUGUCACUUACUCGAAUCAGUUAUCUCUGGGACUCGCUAAGACUAGUUGUCAAAUUUUUCUACUUCGGCCGUGGAAAGUGAUUUGAGUGGGAGGUGGAUGACCUUUGUAGGGUAUUUGACCUUGGCUGAAGCCUUUAUAUACAAUAUACAGAAGUGUGUGGGAGGUGGAAGAGCAUUCUUGGCUAUUUGACAUUGGCUGAAGUCUUAUAAAGUGUUGAAGAAGAAGAAGGAGGGGGGUCCACGACGUUGUUGCUGUCACUUACUCGAAUCAGUUAUCUCUGGGACUCGCUAAGACUAGUUGUCAAAUUUUUCUACUUCGGCCGUGGAAAGUGUAUCAGUUUUCCCCCGUCUCUGAAAACCUGAGGGGGGAAAUUCACCCUGGUUGAGAACCCCUGCUUUAUAGUUUACAAAGCCAUCUGAGUUACUUUCUGAAAUUCUGAUUGAUAGUUUUCAAAAUGAUUAGUUUUUGCAAAGUGUCUUACGACAGUGGUAGAAAAUAUAACAAAUUAUGGGAAGAAAAAUUCGUCUGUGUUAGUAUAGCCAGUGAUGGAAGUGAAAAUGCUCCAGUUCCAAGGAAAAUGUUGCAGAUUUGAAAGUAACACCACACAUGGUGGAGCUAUUUAACUCUGCAAUCACGUACGAGAAGGAAGAACCAGGGGACGGUGACGAACUGGACUCCACCAUUAUCAUGCUCCACCACCAUUUGAGUUUACGAUUUGGCCGUGAAGCUUGUCGUACAUGUGGCAACCCUGUUCCUAUGCGAUUUGAGUGGGAGGUGGAUGACCUUUGUAGGGUAUUUGACCUUGGCUGAAGCCUUUAUAUACAAUAUACAGAAGUGUGUGGGAGGUGGAAGAGCAUUCUUGGCUAUUUGACAUUGGCUGAAGUCUUAUAAAGUGAAGAAGAAGAGAAGAAGAAGGAGGGGGGUCCACGACGUUGUUGCUGUCACUUACUCGAAUCAGUUAUCUCUGGGACUCGCUAAGACUAGUUGUCAAAUUUUUCUACUUCGGCCGUGGAAAGUGUAUCAGUUUUCCCCCGUCUCUGAAAACCUGAGGGGGGAAAUUCACCCUGGUUGAGAACCCCUGCUUUAUAGUUUACAAAGCCAUCUGAGUUACUUUCUGAAAUUCUGAUUGAUAGUUUUCAAAAUGAUUAGUUUUUGCAAAGUGUCUUACGACAGUGGUAGAAAAUAUAACAAAUUAUGGGAAGAAAAAUUCGUCUGUGUUAGUAUAGCCAGUGAUGGAAGUGAAAAUGCUCCAGUUCCAAGGAAAAUGUUGCAGAUUUGAAAGUAACACCACACAUGGUGGAGCUAUUUAACUCUGCAAUCACGUACGAGAAGGAAGAACCAGGGGACGGUGACGAACUGGACUCCACCAUUAUCAUGCUCCACCACCAUUUGAGUUUAUGAUUUGGCCGUGAAGCUUGUCGUACAUGUGGCAACCCUGUUCCUAUGCGAUUUGAGUGGGAGGUGGAUGACCUUUGUAGGAUAUUUGACCUUGGCUGAAGCCUUUAUAUACAAUAUACAGGUGAGCAUAAAUUAAAUUUACCAUAGUUAAAAAGAAAUAGUUUUAUUGGUGAAUACUGUGAGGUUCCCUCUGCUUUUAAGCCAUUAUUUACAUCUUCGUCCAAUUUGCCGUAAGUUUGU